rnacentral:rRNA from 1 species
GACGAACGCUGGCGGCGUGCUUAACACAUGCAAGUCGAGCGGUAAGGCCCUUUCGGGGGUACACGAGCGGCGAACGGGUGAGUAACACGUGGGUGACCUGCCCUUAGCUCUGGGAUAAGCCUGGGAAACUGGGUCUAAGUACCGGAUAUGACUCCAUGACGCAUGUUGUGGGGUGGAAAGCCUUGUGCGGCUAGGGAUGGGCCCGCGGCCUAUCAGCUUGUUGGUGGGGUGAUGGCCUACCAAGGCGACGACGGGUAGCCGGCCUGAGAGGGCGACCGGCCACACUGGGACUGAGACACGGCCCAGACUCCUACGGGAGGCAGGCAGUGGGGAAUCGUUGCGCAAUGGGCGAAAGCCUGACGCAGCGACGCCGCGUGAGGGAUGACGGCC